CUCUGAAAAUGGCUGACAUUUAUGAAAAUGCAAGAAAAUGCUACUACCUUUAAGUGCUUAUUACUCAAAAAGUAUGCUAGAUACAGCACAGAUUUUUUUUAUCCUAUUAGUUUUGACAUAUUAGACCACAUCUAUAAGAAAACCAAACUUAUUGCAAUUCAGGAGUGUCAGAACAAUCUUUAUAAAUAUGGUUGAUUUUUAAUUUUUCAAAAAAUUGCCUGUUUUCACCUCCUCAUUUGGCCACGUGGCCAUAUAAAUAACAGUUUCAUAUUUUCACCAUGGUUAAUAACAUAUCUGA